CGUCCACCGCACCAAUUCAUACAUAUGCAUCAUAAAUCAAUUCUUACCUGUGCGUCCACCGCACCAAUUCAUACAUAUGCAUCAUAUAUUAAUUCAUGCAUGGCAUUUCAACUCACAUUUCUAUAUACUUUUCAUAUCAAUUCUAUGCAUGGUAUUUCACUUCCCGUUUUUCCACAUAACUCAUAUGCAUUUCAUUUUAAACAUAUUUUCAUGCAUUUUCAAUUUCUGGGAAAACGUUAAGUAUAUAUAUAUAUAUACGGAAAACAAAACUGCCCACUCACCUGGAGUUCAUCCAACAACUCCCUAGCACCACACAUCAAGGCGUCACGACGAUCGCCGCCUAGAAUAGUAAUCAAAUCCAACCUCAGAAUUCAUAUCGAUAGAAUAUUUAACUUAUAUAAAAUACGUCACUACGUAGUUCGAUCCGGAAGAUCUGCCACUCAGAUUUUAAAUCCAUAACUUCCAGAGGUCCACAAUAUAUCUCUAGGACAACAUCCUAAAAUUUCAUUACCAUCCAACGGUCGGAUCUCCGUCAAUUUCCAAAACUAAGUGACGGUUAACAUUUUAUAUUAUGGACUUACAAUUCCAAUUCCGGAAGAUCCGUAACUCGGAUUCCCAAUCCAUAAGUUCCAAUAAUCCUCAAAUAUUACGUACUAUAACGUAUCAAAGUUUGGUGAUGAUCCAACGGUCGGAUCAUCAAUUCACAUUUUCACCUAAAUGUGAAAACUAUAAAACGUUAUUUGAACACCUAACCAACAAUCUUCAAUAACUUUCUCAUACGGUGUUCAAUUUAGGUAUAUGAAUAUACCACAGUGAUCUACUCGACGUCACGGACGUCGACAUAUUUUUAAAAUAAUUUUAUUUUUAUUUUUUAUUUUUACUGUAGCACCUUCUUCUUCCUUGGGUCGCCGGACUGGUUUUUCCGGCGGCCGUUUUCUGAACAGUUUUUCAAAUUGCCAUAACUUUGUCAUUUCUCAACGAAAUCAAGUGAUUCAAAAACGAAAGUUGUAGCCCUUGAAGAGACAAAGAGAAUGGUACCUUGCACAACACCUAGUUCGCCGUGGUUUGGCCGGAAACUGCCUCGAAAGCCUCGGAGGUCGCCGGAAACUGGGUAUUUUUCAAAUGAGUAUAACUUCUUCAAUACUCAACGAAAUUGAGUGAAACAAAAAGGAAAGUUGUAGUACUUGACGAGACGAAGAGAUUGAUACCUACCUCGACUCCUAACUCGCCGGGGAUUCGCCGGAAAAAGCCUCGAAAGCUCCGGCCAAAUUUUGAACUUGUCGAUCUCCGUGUUCUUACGUCCAAAAACUUCCAACGAAGCACUCCGAGCUUCCUUGGGACCUCACUAAGCUCACUAUGAGCUUGGAUUGUCCUAAAAAUCAACCAAUUCAAAGCUCAUGAACAGUACACUUUCAUGGGGAGUUUAGAAUCUAGGUUUUCCGAAGUAAAACUUACCUGAAAUGGAUACCAACGUGAUCGUGAAGUCCUCAGGAUUCCAAUGGUGGUCUCAAACUUGACGUUGGUAUAGAUUUAGGGUGGUUUUGGUGGUGGUCCGUGUGAGUUCGAAGGAGAGAGAGACAGAGAGAGUGAGAAAUCGUGAAGGAGGAGAGAGAAAGACAGUGAACGGGAAAUGAGGAGGGUUUUGAGGGAUGUGGGGAUCCCACGUGGUCCUUAUUCCAAUCUCCAAACACCAAACUUUAACAUUUUAACCUAAAAAUCUAAGUUCCAUCCUUAUUAAAUUCCAUUUUAUUUUUCAAACUUAGGAACCUAGAUAAUUAGCAACCUGAGCUUCACAAAUUUAGUAUUUCUUAAGGGCAAUUUCGUCCAUUCACAGCCACGAAUAUAAUAAUUUGGAACGGGCUGUGACAAUCUUCCCUCCUUAUAGAAUUUCGUCCCCGAAAUUCCAGCAACCAACCAAUUCAUCAACACUUAUACCAACCUCGGUAAGUUUCUUUCAUCCGAUUCUUUUUCUCCCACGUAAUUUUCUUCCACUGAAUGAUUCCUUCACAAAACUUUUACCAUUUACUCUAUCUUAACUCUCAGGACCUUCUUUUUCCAAUCCAAAUUCUACUUUUCUAAGGUGAACACUUCUAAAAUAUAAAACCAUCUUAUGAUCAACGUCACUUAUAAUAUUCAAUUGGUAGUAACCAGAUCUCAAUUCAAUCUUUGAAUCUUCGCAAUUACUUUUGAGUUGGUUAAAUAAACAUCAGUACAUCACCAUGGAUAACGGUUCUCAAUCGUUACCCGACUCCAUUAUCUAUAAUCAAGGAAUAGUCUUUAAAGUCCAUUUUCUUUCUCACCCACAAACUGGUGCUCCUCAACAGUGUUGUACUAGGUUGAAUAAAACUUUUAUCAACCAAUUCUCUCAACUGAAUUUCCAAUUCCCUUAACUCAUCAUGAACCAAUCUUUAACAUAAAUUUAUACCUGGCAACAAAUCAAUAAUGAACCUCAUAUCUCUGCCUGAAGACAAUCCAGGUAUACUUUCAGAGAAGACAUCAAGAAAAGUCUAACUCUUUCGACAUUAUUCACACUACUCCAAACAACAUCAUUUAGCACCACAUGAGCUAAGUAUUUUUGACAGCCUUUCGAAAACAAUCUCUUUGCUCUCACAGCAUAAAUAAUGGCUGAACUCAAUCCACUUUGCAUACUUACAAAAGUAAUCUCUGUUCAUCCAGAUCGAUGGAAAGUGACUGGUUUCCCGUAACAAUCCAUUUAGUCACAAUUAUAACCAACCACUCUAAUGGAAAUAAUUUAACCGACACAAUACAUACUUUAUUAAUACUGAACAUUCUAAAUAAGUACAACACUAACAUAAAAUAACCUACCGGGUUGCUUGCUUAACGAAUCCACGAAUGAGUUAUUAAUAUUACGGUCUGCAGCCCGCAAUACUGAUAAAUCAUCGUUGUCUCGAUAAGUAGGCAACCACUCACAAAGAUAUAACAUUACUAUUUUGUCACUCAAUGCAAAAUACAUACACUCGUCUCAACUACAUUUAUUUACCACUCUCUAGGUAAUAUCAUACAUAAUAAGAAAUAUAUCAGCCGAAGUCAACUAGAAUGACCAAUACGGUUGAUUCAACUCUUAUCUCAAUAAUACGUCGGCCGGAUCCACUCCGCGUGGUCGGCACGGCCGAGCCUAUAACUCACCAAUUUCUCAUAUGUCAGUCAAAUCCAUUUCUCAUGGUCCGUACGGCUGAACAUAUAACUCAUCAAAUAUCUCUGUACUCACGGUCAAUCCGACCAAACUACUAAAUCCAUAACUCUGCUGAAUCGACACUAUGAUUUCAUGGAAAAUUGUUGAGUACAACUGAUUCUAGGGACGAUUCACAACUCUGUGUCCCUUCUGUUCACAUAAACACAUUCAUUAAUUUCACAUUUCCCAAAGUGUUAAUUUUGUACAUGCUGCACAAAGUACAUUUCCUUUACUCGAGACACCUUGUCUCAAAUAUCGGGGAUUACCAGUAUAUCCAUCACUUUUAUUCUGACCAGCGACAUUAAAACCUCAGCUGGAAAAAUUAACUCUAGCUUCACUUCUUUCGAAGCUCUGAAUCUUUCUAUAUCCUUGAUAUGACGAAUCAUUAACUUUAUCGUCUUCUUUUAAUUCCCAUUCUUUUCUUAUUCUUCUUUAUUCUCGUUGCUCAUGUUCUCAGAGUCCUCAAGGCUCAACAACAUCUAGCAUACUCCUGAUAAGAACUACAAUGGAUAGUGGUCACCCAAAAUACCACUUCCCUUUUUGCCACCCAGCUUAAAACAACAUAACACCUCCACCAAAUUAACAACAAUAUCUGGAUGGAACGAGGCAAGUCUGAAAACUUUCUAUAAUAUCCCUCGAUCAUCACCUUCCUUGUCUCAUAUUUGUAAACUCUUGUUUACUACCAUCAAUAAAUGCCGGAGGGAUAAACUUUUCCUUAAAAAAUUUUUAAAUCGGCUGAUUCCUCUGGUGACAACAAUUAACAUUCCUGUUUCCACCAGGAUGCAAAUUCAUACCCAAAACCAGGUAGUCGUCUCGACCCACCUGUCAGAAGGAAAUUUCCUUUGACUUGCAUAAUCUGAAACAUCUUUUCCAAUUGGUUAAACCGUCACUCCGCUCCCUCAGGUUCAUCAUUUCAUAAGGUGAUUCAAAUUCAACUCAUAACCCGUCUUAAAAUGUCCAUUUUGAUAAUAUACUGAAUCACCAUAAUCAUAGUUUCCCCCAAACCGCUAAAUCAGGGAGACUAAAUUCCUCUAACUACGUGGUUUGCUACGAGGCGGUGUAGUUCUGACAGAAUUCACUAUAAACUUCUCAAGAUGUCCAAGAUUGCAACCAUGCUCUGAUACCAACUGACACACCCCGUCCCGAAGGAGGGCAUGCUGGCCGUCACGUGAGAGUGACGUAACCAUUUGCACAGUACGGAAGCUUUAAGAUACAAUUUAAAUUGAUACACCCGAAGGUGAGUCCUAAUUUUGUCCAAUCUGUCAGAACACCGUCGAAUUCCUCGUAGUCACCACACCUUUGUGAUUCCUGAACCUGGAGGGGCGCAAAACCAAAAUUGAGUGGGUCAGUAAAACAAUUCUUUUCCAAAUCCAAACAUUUCUCAAAACGUUGUAACCCCUCUCCGUAAAACCUGUAUACUUUCCCAGAAAUGUAAAAUAUAAAUAUACAUAUAUAUUCUCAAAACUUCAUUUUUACUAUCUCAACAUUAUCUCUUUAUCAAUCAUGCCAUGCCAUGUCAUCUCAACAUUUCUCAUAUUAAUUAUGCCAUGCCACAUCAUCUCAACAGUAAUAAGGUAUGAAUGCAUCAACAUAAUCAUAUCAGGUGCAAGAAAGUAAUCAACCGUAGGCCCUCUAAUAGCCCUAUACGGUUGAACCUAGAGCUCAAAAUCUAUCAUUAUCACUCUACCGGAGUCACCUCUGUGACCCGUCCGGCCUUCUGCACACAAGUUACGCUCUAGUGCUUCUCAUAAAUCAUCUGUGCACAUAAUCUAAGGUCACCCACCAGUCGGAAUCUCACUAACACUCUCGCGACUGGUCUGUCGUACCCACUCCGCGUGGACUGUACGACUAGCAUCUACUUGGAUCCAAGGCGAGCGUGCGAUGCGGUGAAUACUAUAAGCACUAAACCAUGGUGCAGGAUUUGAGCUCAAUAUAUAUCAUCAUCAUCAUAACAGUAAUUAAAUACUCAUCUGUGCGUCCACCGCACCAUUUCAUACAUAUGCAUCAUAAAUCAAUUCUUACCUGUGCGUCCACCGCACCAAUUCAUACAUAUGCAUCAUAAAUCAAUUCUUACCUGUGCGUCCACCGCACCAAUUCAUACAUAUGCAUCAUAUAUUAAUUCAUGCAUGGCAUUUCAACUCACAUUUCUAUAUACUUUUCAUAUCAAUUCUAUGCAUGGUAUUUCACUUCCCGUUUUUCCACAUAACUCAUAUGCAUUUCAUUUUAAACAUAUUUUCAUGCAUUUUCAAUUUCUGGGGAAAACGUUAAGUAUAUAUAUAUAUACGGAAAACAAAACUGCCCACUCACCUGGAGUUCAUCCAACAACUCCCUAGCACCACACAUCAAGGCGUCACGACGAUCGCCGCCUAGAAUAGUAAUCAAAUCCAACCUCAGAAUUCAUAUCGAUAGAAUAUUUAACUUAUAUAAAAUACGUCACUACGUAGUUCGAUCCGGAAGAUCUGCCACUCAGAUUUUAAAAUCCAUAACUUCCAGAGGUCCACAAUAUAUCUCUAGGACAACAUCCUAAAAUUUCAUUACCAUCCAACGGUCGGAUCUCCGUCAAUUUCCAAAACUAAGUGACGGUUAACAUUUUAUAUUAUGGACUUACAAUUCCAAUUCCGGAAGAUCCGUAACUCGGAUUCCCAAUCCAUAAGUUCCAAUAAUCCUCAAAUAUUACGUACUAUAACGUAUCAAAGUUUGGUGAUGAUCCAACG
rnacentral:lncRNA from 1 species